rnacentral:misc_RNA from 1 species
AAGUCGUAACAAGGUAACCGUAGGUGAACCUGCGGUUGGAUCAUUACUGUAUUUUUUUUUCCAGUAAUUUGUUUGCAAGCGCUUAGAUAGGUCAAUGCAAACAAGUGAAUAUGGAAGAAAUUCUACAAUCUGUGCACCUGUAAUUGUAAGUUGGCGAUUGUCCAGUGCUUUGUGCUGGACUUGCAUUAAGUUGCAAAGGUCGUCAAUAGUGUAAACAACAUAACUCUAUUUUUUUUUUAUUCUUUUAUUGACUUUUUAAAUUGAAACCAAGAACAACUAUUAACAAUGGAUCUCUUGGCUCUC